rnacentral:tRNA from 1 species
GGCAGUGUAGCAUAAUGGGUAGGGAGUUGGUCUUGUAACCUAAAGGUCGCAGGUUCGAUUCCGCAGUAGGACACUGUUG